rnacentral:misc_RNA from 1 species
GAUGAAGAACGCAGUGAAAUGCGAUAAGUAGUGUGAAUUGCAGAAUUCAGUGAAUCAUCGAAUCUUUGAACGCACAUUGCGCCCCUCGGUAUUCCGUGGGGCAUGCCUGUUCGAGCGUCAUUUAACCCCUCAAGCCUAGCUUGGUAUUGGGUGCUUGUCCCGCCUCUCGCGCGGCGACUCACCUCAAAGUCAUUGGCAGCCCGCAUCUCGCCGGCCGUGAGCGCAGCACAGACGCGCUCUUGGCAACGACGGAUCGGCUCUCCAAAAGCUUAUUUCAACCACUGACCUCGGAUCAGGUAGGGAUACCCGCUGAACUUAAGCAUAUCAAUAGGCGGAGGA